rnacentral:rRNA from 1 species
GACGAACGCUGGCGGCGUGCUUAACACAUGCAAGUCGAACGGUGAAAGGGAGCUUGCUCCCUGGAUCAGUGGCGAACGGGUGAGUAACACGUGGGCAACCUGCCCCAGACUUCGGGAUAACGCUUCGAAAGAGGUGCUAAUACCGGAUACGAACUCCUUGGGCAUCCUUGGAGUUGGAAAGUUUUUCGGUCUGGGAUGGGCCCGCGGCCUAUCAGCUUGUCGGUGAGGUAACGGCUCACCAAGGCGACGACGGGUAGCCGGCCUGAGAGGGCGACCGGCCACACUGGGACUGAGACACGGCCCAGACUCCUACGGGAGGCAGCAGUGGGGAAUAUUGCGCAAUGGGCGAAAGCCCGACGCAGCAACGCCGCGUGAGGGAUGACGGCCUUCGGGUUGUAAACCUCUUUCAGCAGGGAAGAAGCGAAAGUGACGGUACCUGCAGAAGAAGCACCGGCUAACUACGUGCCAGCAGCCGCCGUAA